AUCUAGAAAUAGGAAAGUACAGUGCCACUUAUAUUUUCACUCUAGAACCUUCACUUCUCUUCUUCUUUCCAAAAUUUCCAUCUAGUUUUCUCCGUUCAAUUUUUACAAUUCAGAAUUUAGAACAUGCAUGUUCUAGAAGAAAUUGAAAGAAUGCCUAUACAUGAUAUCUUUCUGCAAUAUGAUAGAAUAUCCUACACUCCUUGAAGCAGACAGGAGCUGGAGCUCUUGAAUAGCAAAUGAAAUUCAGAAAUGGAAAGAAAUUAGAAUAGAAGAUGAUGUCAUUGUACGAUUUCGUCAUAAUUUUGAGAAAUAUGGUCUCAUAAAAGUGUUAAAGAUUCAGGGUCACGCCUUCACACCAAGUUGAAAGAAGCUGUUAUUCUGGUAAUUAUUUUGUUAGUUGCAAGCAAGUGCCAUCUUUUCCUUUGGGCCAUUUAUUUAUUAGGAUAUUCUUGCUUUGUCAUGAUUAUGGAGGUACUUCUCUUUGCUUCCUGAUUUGUCAUUUGAGAAGAUUAUAUGAUGUUAAUUGGAUUAUCAUGUAUAUGAAGAAUAGGAUCAUGACACAUGCAUACUUAAGCAACCGGUUUUACCUAUACCGUACUCUUUUAAAUGAUUAUCGAAAUGAAUGUUUAUAA